rnacentral:rRNA from 1 species
AUUGAACGCUGGCGGCAUGCUUUACACAUGCAAGUCGAACGGUAACAGGUCUUCGAAUGCUGACGAGUGGCGAACGGGUGAGUAAUACAUCGGAACGUGCCUAGUAGUGGGGGAUAACUACUCGAAAGAGUAGCUAAUACCGCAUGAGAUCUACGGAUGAAAGCAGGGGACCUUCGGGCCUUGUGCUACUAGAGCGGCUGAUGGCAGAUUAGGUAGUUGGUGGGGUAAAGGCUUACCAAGCCUGCGAUCUGUAGCUGGGCUGAGAGGACGACCAGCCACACUGGGACUGAGACACGGCCCAGACUCCUACGGGAGGCAGCAGUGGGGAAUUUUGGACAAUGGGCGAAAGCCUGAUCCAGCAAUGCCGCGUGCAGGAUGAAGGCCCUCGGGUUGUAAACUGCUUUUGUACGGAACGAAAAGCCUGGGGCUAAUAUCCCCGGGUCAUGACGGUACCGUAAGAAUAAGCACCGGCUAACUACGUGCCAGCCGCCGCGGUAA